rnacentral:rRNA from 1 species
UACGUAGGGUGCAAGCGUUGUCCGGAAUUAUUGGGCGUAAAGAGCUCGUAGGCGGCUAGUCGCGUCGGCUGUGAAAACCUGGGGCUCAACCCCGGGCCUGCAGCCGAUACGGGCUAGCUAGAAUUCGGUAGGGGAGACUGGAAUUCCUGGUGUAGCGGUGAAAAUGCGCAGAUAUCAGGAGGAACACCGGUGGCGAAGGCGGGUCUCUGGGCCGAUAUUGACGCUGAGGAGCGAAAAGCGUGGGGGAGCGAAACAGG